ensembl:misc_RNA Metazoa_SRP Metazoan signal recognition particle RNA
GCUGGGCAUGGUGGUGCAUGCCUGUAGUCCCAGCUACUCUGGAGGCUGAGACAGGAGAAUCACUUGAACCCAGGAGACUGAGGUUGCAGUGAACUGAGAUCAUACCACUGCACUCCAGCCUGGGUAACAGAGUGAGACUCCAUCUCAA